rnacentral:misc_RNA from 1 species
AAAAGAAAAAAAAAAGAGAGAGAGGAUGCGGGAGGAGAAGAUGGAAAGAAAUCAUAUUACAAAAAUGGAUAUUUUACACAAAAAAGGUCAUGUUGGAGAGUAGAGAGAUGACCUGAAUAAAAAAUUUGAAGUAUGUUGGCAUAUGAAGCAUAUCUACAGAGCUCUUGAUUUCUUGAUCUCAAUUGGCAUGAUCAUCUGCUCGCAUUGGUCAGAAUUUAUGUUAACGCUUAGCAGCAUGAAGAGCUUUGCAAUCGGAAAAGAAUAGCUCACUCAGUCAACCUCCUUUGCACUCUUAAGCACCUGUCCUCCAGAGUAUAAGAAGCCCAUCAGGUAAAUGCUGAAAUUUGCAUGAUUCAUGUUCUAGUUAAUAUCAUGAAUCAUGAGAGCCUUGGACCAUCAAAGUAUCACGCUUAGCACUGUCUGCGCGAAAGCUAUCUCCUUUAUACCCAAUCUCUAUCGGACUAUCAAGGGGGAACCACCGCAAUAGUACCCCGAGAUGUAUGACAGCAGGAAUCAACUUGAAAAGCAAUGGCGUGGUCACCUGUAACAUUACUUAGUAAGAAAUGAGAAGAGUUCAAACUCUCAACAUACAUGAUUUGGCAAAUACAUGGCUGCUACACAAACUCAAUAAUAUAAAACUAUUCAUGUUCACCAAUUCUGUGACAUCUCACAUCUACAGGCUUAUUAACUUAAUGCAUCUUUUAACACUAAGCAAAUUCAGAUUCUAUUUCUAUAUUGCACUCUCAAGAAUAUGGAAGUUGCUAAAGUGGUAAUUUUAAACAUUGCAGUACCAUAUGGGCAAAGCAUCAAUAAAUGUUUAGUUUCACUACAGUUUCCACAAUUUCCCUCUUCACAUUGUAUCUCUGCCUCGCUGAGAACAUAUAGCAAGGUGCAUACUUACCAAACUCAAAGCUGUUGUUCCAAGAAGCAGUAAAUACAAUUUACCCUCAACAAGAUGAAGAUUAGAAGCACGACUUAAGAGAACAAAAGCAAAUUCCCCAAUUUGUGCCAGAGACAUUCCAACAAGAAGCGAAGUUUUAUUGUUGUAUCGAAAUCCCUUGACAACAGUCACAACCACAACAGUUUUUAUGAUAAUCACCAAUAAUACAGCUGCCAGUAAAAUAUCAACAUGAUUCCAUAGGAAAUGAACAUGUAUUAGCAUCCCAAUGCUGGCAAGAAAGAGAGCCGCAAAGAAGUUGCGAAUGGGUUCAACCUAAAAGAAAAUUAACUCCAAAUGAAAGCAAACAAAUGAGACUUCUUUGCGUGAAGGCUGAAAUAUCCAGCAAGAAUAACAAAAAUACAAAUGAGGCAAUAAAGCAUAGUAGGAUAUCAUAUAUUGGUUAGGAUAGAAGGACAUCUUAUCCCCCAAGCUAUAAUCUCUUCUGUUUUCUUUCUUAUGAUAAAAGGACAUCUUAUCCCCCAAGCAAUAAUCUCCUCUUUUCUUUCUUUCCUUCUUAAGAAAGCCUUAAACAAUUAAAAAGAAAAGGGUCGGAUAUUGUGCAACUUCUGAAACCAAAUACAUGGAAGACAUACUUGUUCAAGUGUAUGUUGAGCAAGAUCAGUUGUUGAUAUCAUAACUCCAGCAGCAAAAGAUCCCAGUUCAAGGCUCAGACCCAGCUUAUCACUACACUGAAAUGCAAAAUCAAUCUAUAAUAUGCAUGGUGUAUACAUGUGCAUUAGUCUGGUUGAAGCAGGCAGGAGCAUUGGUAGACUAGACAUAGAACUAGGAUGACUAAGAAAUGUUUUCCUUAUUUUUUUUUUUUCCUUUUUUCCUCAUUGCCAGAGAAACUAAAUGUUAAAAUAACUACAUAGAAAAAAUUAAUAAAUUAGCCUGUCACUUCUGUACAUAAAAUGGGUUGCAUUAAAAAUGCAUUAAUAACAAGUGAAAAAUAGGGACAUGAGGCUAACCCAAGCCACAAGUAAGCAGAAUGCCACUGAUGCCAAUUGAUAGAGCUCAUUGGUCUGUGAUGAAAGGUUCAUCAUCAAUUUAAGAAACCAAGGAACGCAAGUACGUGAUAAUAUUGACAAAACACCCAAAAAUGCAAUCAACACUACCAACAGUUUAGUCAUGGAUAUUACUCCUUG